ensembl:lncRNA
AUCGAUAGGGAUCCUGGAAUGAUGCGAGGAGACUACGUCUCAAGAAUGGAAAGUGAGGAUUUGGGUCGGAUUGAAGCAAGUGAAGAGUGCAGGCAUCCGUUGCAUGUAGAAAUAGUAUUUAGAAAAAGAUUCCAGUGAAAGGCAAUCGCUUGAAUGUAUCCAGGUUCUGUGCCUCAAUAAAGAUGCCUUUCCCUUUAAGAGCUGGAUCAGCAUUACACAAGCAGUCAGGGCCAUCUCCUCCUACGCUGCUCCUGGAAGCUGAAUUCAGAUGGUGCCAUAGAGUACUUUAUGGCAUCUAGCACCAUUUGAAAUCAGUGUUCUUGGGUCGGUCCUGACAUCACACAUUAGACCUAAAUGGUGUUGAUGACUACUGCACUGUUUGUGAUCAGUGUCUUUGCAUGUCUGAUUUGCCUAAGUUUUAUAAAUUAAAUAAAACUAAUUUAUUCGUAUUAAGUGCUACAAGUUUCUUUCUUCCAAACCAAUACAAUUGCAAGCAACAGUCUUAACAGAGCCUCUGUUGAAACCUUUUCAUGGGAUGUUAAUCCUUCUGAAAAGCAGUGUUAUAGAAAUGUGCAGACUUCAUCGCUUUUAAAAUACUAAAUAUAAUUUAUCAUCUGUAAAAGUAUCAUAUAGAAAUAUGAUAUGUUGUGUAAUUAUAAUCUAUGCACGGCCCUUGGUGUUCUGGCCUAUCAGAAAUAUUAAACGUAAAUUUGGAUAGUAAACUGGCUGUUUGAAAAUGGAAAACCAGAAAUGGAAAAUUAAAUUAAUUUCCGAAAAUCGGUCCUUUCGAAUACUUUAUUUCAAAAGAACCGGUUCAGUGAUUCUUCUAAGUCAUGACACCUGGAUCGAUGAGUCAAUUAGGUGAGUUGCUGACUCGGGAAUCGUCCGGACCGAUUCAGGCGGAUGCGUGAACCGACAGAAUAAUUCAUACAGAUUUUAUGAAACCUGUUCAACCGAUUCAUCGAAAAGAUCCGACUCUAAAGAACGACUCGCUCACGAAUCGGAAAUUGUUUUUUGGAACGCCUGUUUUGAAACAGUUUCAUUUAUCCGUUUGCUGUCAAGAUAAGUUUAAAGCACCUGUGACUAAUUAGAUAUCUUUACGUUCAUUACCUGAUACAUCCAGCUUGUUCACCCUAGACCUCCACUGCGGCACCAUCCUUAAGAUCUGACAAAUGUCCUACAAUCAUUUUAAGAAUGGACAUCUGUGUUUAAUGAGGUCAACACUUAGGUCCAAAUGUCAACCGAAUAUGUGUUUUAUUCCACCAUGGCACGCGUGUGUAUUCUGAAUGACACUACUACAGUGUGCGAAAUGGGCCAUAUAUCGAUUCUUCUCCACUGGGAAAGAGGAGAUUCAACUAUCC